GGCUCCGUAGCUCAACGGAUAGAGCAACCCUCUCCUAAAGGGUAGAUGUCAGUUCGAUUCUGGCUGGGGCCGCCA
rnacentral:tRNA from 1 species